AAAAAAAAUAAUCAAAAAAAGAAAACCAAAUAUGAUAGUGUAUGUAGAAAUCAUUUACAUGUGUAUGUGAUAUAUGAAUAUAUCCGGUGCCCCUCUAAUCAUCAUAAUGAUAAUAGAGAAAGAACGUA